rnacentral:rRNA from 1 species
CAGCGUCACGAGUGGGAAUCAUAUUUAUUUGGCCUAAAGCGUCCGUAGCCGGCGUAGUAAAUUUAUUGUGGAAUCAUUGUGCUCAACGCAAUGGCGUGCAGUAAACACUGCUAUGCUUGAGACUGGGAGGAGUCAGAAGUAUUCUUGGGGGAGCGGUAAAAUGCUAUAAUCCCAAGAGGACUACCUGUGGCGAAGGCGUCUGACUAGUACAGUUCUGACGGUGAGGGACGAAAGCUAGGGGAGCGAUCCGGAUUAGAUACCCGAGUAGUCC